GCUCAGGAUGAACGCUGGCGGCGCGCCUAACACAUGCAAGUCGAACGAGAGAGAAGGAGCUUGCUUCUUCGAUCGAGUGGCGAACGGGUGAGUAACGCGUGAGGAACCUGCCUCAAAGAGGGGGACAACAGUUGGAAACGACUGCUAAUACCGCAUAAGCCCACAGGUCGGCAUCGACCAGAGGGAAAAGGAGCAAUCCGCUUUGAGAUGGCCUCGCGUCCGAUUAGCUAGUUGGUGAGGUAAUGGCCCACCAAGGCGACGAUCGGUAGCCGGACUGAGAGGUUGAACGGCCACAUUGGGACUGAGACACGGCCCAGACUCCUACGGGAGGCAGCAGUA
rnacentral:rRNA from 1 species